ACUAGAAUGAAUGGCUAAAUGAGGACUAAACUGUCUCUUACGGACCAGCCAAUGAAAUUGAUUUCCCAGUACAAAAGCUGGGAUAUACUCAUAAGACGAGAAGACCCUGUGGAGCUUCAAAACCAAACCACCCAGCAUGCUCCUUGGAUUUUUAGUUGGGGCGACUUCGGAAUAUAAAAAAACUUCCAAAAAUGAAAUAAUUUUAUUAAGGUUAACACACCAAAAUUAGCCCACUAGACCCAGCAACUAACUGUUAGUCUGAUUAAUGAACCAAGUUACCCCAGGGAUAACAGCGCAAUCUCCUUUUAGAGUCCAUAUCGACAAGGAGGUUUACGACCUCGAUGUUGGAUCAGGACACCCCAAUGGUGCAGCCGCCAUUAAAG
rnacentral:rRNA from 1 species